rnacentral:rRNA from 1 species
UAGUGCCGCAGCUAACGCAUUAAGCACUCCGCCUGGGGAGUACGACCGCAAGGUUGAAACUCAAAGGAAUUGACGGGGGCCCGCACAAGCGGUGGAGCAUGUGGUUUAAUUCGAAGCAACGCGAAGAACCUUACCAGGUCUUGACAUCCCGAUGCCCGCUCUAGAGAUAGAGCUUUACUUCGGUACAUCGGUGACAGGUGGUGCAUGGUUGUCGUCAGCUCGUGUCGUGAGAUGUUGGGUUAAGUCCCGCAACGAGCGCAACCCUUAUUGUUAGUUGCCAUCAUUCAGUUGGGCACUCUAGCGAGACUGCCGGUAAUAAACCGGAGGAAGGUGGGGAUGACGUCAAAUCAUCAUGCCCCUUAUGACCUGGGCUACACACGUGCUACAAUGGCUGGUACAACGAGUCGCAAGCCGGUGACGGCAAGCUAAUCUCUGAAAGCCAGUCUCAGUUCGGAUUGUAGGCUGCAACUCGCCUACAUGAAGUCGGAAUCGCUAGUAAUCGCGGAUCAGCACGCCGCGGUGAAUACGUUCCCGGGCCUUGUACACACCGCCCGUCACACCACGAGAGUUUGUAACACCCGAAGUCGGUGAGGUAACCGUAAGGAGCCAGCCGCC